CGGGCUCCGGCCCUGUCUGCACCCUUGUCUUUUGCGUACUACUUGUUUCCUUGUGGGCUUGCCGCCGAUAGGACACUAUACAACCACUUGUAAUAGCAAUCAGCGUCAGAAAAACUAUAAUAGUUACAACUUUUAACAACGGAUCUCUUGGUUCUGGCAUCGAUGAAGAACGCAGCGAAAUGCGAAAAGUAGUGUGAAUUGCAGAAUUCAGUGAAUCAUCGAAUCUUUGAACGCACAUUGCGCCCCUUGGUAUUCCAUGGGGCAUGCCUGUUCGAGCGUCAUUUGUACCCUCAAGCUCUGCUUGGUGUUGGGUGUUUGUCCCGCCGUGUGCGUGGACUCGCCUCAAAGCAAUUGGCAGCCGGCAUACUGGUCCUGGAGCGCAGCACAUUUUGCACUCCUAGCCACGAAUGCAGGCGUCCAUAAGCCUAUAUUUUGCUCUUGACCUCGGAUCAGGUAGGGAUACCCGCUGAACUUAA
rnacentral:rRNA from 1 species